rnacentral:tRNA from 1 species
GUACAUAUAGCUUAUAAUUAAAGCAUUGCUUUGAAGGGGCAAAGAUAAUUUUAUGUACA